GCCAGAUUUGCGAAAAGGAAGCUGGACGAGUCUGUUUUCCUAGGAAAAAAGCUACAGGUCUCUUAUGCACCUCAAUUUGAGAGUCUGCACGAGACGAAGGAGAAGUUAGAAGCAAGGAGAAAGGAAGUUCUAGCACGAUUAAACCCUGGAAGGUCUAAAGGAUCUGCCACAUAUCGGCCAGAUAUGAUUGGUGAGCCCUCGAUAACUUCCUCUCCAGCCCAGUUGAAUUCUACCGCACAAUCAAUUGGCUCUAAUCAUAGGCAGAUCUCGAGUUCUCCGGGUAAUUCUGUUCAUGAGAUGCAGUGUUCUCCCAUGACAAUGGGUUCUUCAGACAAGGAAUACUUUCCUUCACAGUCUAUGAAUCAAACUGUUAAGCUGGUCAGAGAUAAACUAAAUAAGAUACAAUCCAGUACGGACCAUUUAGAAGAACCAUCCAAGCGAAAACGAGUUGACAAUAGGAGACGGAUAUAAAUUACAAUCCAGUG
rnacentral:misc_RNA from 1 species